rnacentral:rRNA from 1 species
GACGAACGCUGGCGGCGCGCUUAACACAUGCAAGUCGAGCGAUGAAAUCUUAACAGAACCCUUCGGGGUGAAGAUAAGACGGAUUAGCGGCGGACGGGUGAGUAACACGUGAGUAACCUGCCUUUUACACAGGGAUAGCCUCAGGAAACCGGGAUUAAAACCUGAUGAAACUAUCAAAUCACAUGAUUAAGAAAGUUAAAACUCCGGUGGUAAAAGAAGGACUCGCGUCCCAUUAGCUAGUUGGUGAAGGUAACGGCCCACCAAGGCAACGAUGGGUAGCCGGCCUGAGAGGGUGAACGGCCACAUUGGAACUGAGAAACGGUCCAAACUCCUACGGGAGGCAGCAGUGGGGAAUAUUGCACAAUGGGGGAAACCCUGAUGCAGCGACGCCGCGUGAGCGAAGAAGGCCUUCGGGUCGUAAAGCUCUUUUAUAUGGGAAGAUAAUGACGGUACCAUAAGAAAAAGCCCCGGCUAACUACGUG